rnacentral:rRNA from 1 species
UACGGAGGGUGCAAGCGUUAUCCGGAUUCACUGGGUUUAAAGGGUGCGUAGGUGGGUAAGUAAGUCCGUGGUGAAAUCUCUGAGCUUAACUCAGAAACUGCCGUGGAUACUAUUUAUCUUGAAUAUUGUGGAGGUGAGCGGAAUAUGUCAUGUAGCGGUGAAAUGCUUAGAUAUGACAUAGAACACCAAUUGCGAAGGCAGCUCACUACACAAUUAUUGACGCUGAGGCACGAAAGCGUGGGGAUCGAACAGG